rnacentral:rRNA from 1 species
UACGUAGGGUGCGAGCGUUGCCCGGAUUUAUUGGGCGUAAAGGGCGCGUAGGCGGCUCUGCACGUCCGUUGUGAAAUCGCCCGGCUCAACUGGGCGGGGUCAGCGGAUACGGCGGAGCUUGAGCAAGCUAGGGGGCAAUGGAAUUCCCGGUGUAGUGGUGGAAUGCGUAGAUAUCGGGAGGAACACCAGUGGCGAAGGCGGUUCUCUGGGCCUGACCUGACGCUGAGGAGCGAAAGCGUGGGGAGCGAACAGG